GGGGGAUUAGCUCAGCUGGCUAGAGCAUCUGAUUUCAUCGGGAGGGUCAACAGACGACUGGUUUUAAGAACCGGGGGGUAGCCAGCUGGCUAGAGCACUGCCUUGCACGCAGAGGGUCAACGGUUCGACUCCGUUAUCCUCCACCA
rnacentral:tRNA from 1 species